GGGAGCGACUUGGCUUCGACAGGAGUAAGUCUGCUUAGAUGGCAUGUCGCUUUCGGCAAAGCGUAAAAAGCCCAAAUAAAAUUAAACGCAAACAACGUUAAAUUCGCUCCUGCUUACGCUAAAGCUGCGUAAGUUCAGUUGAGCCUGAAAUUUAAGUCAUACUAUCUAGCUUAAUUUUCGGUCAUUUUUGAUAGUGUAGCCUUGCGUUUGACAAGCGUUGAGGUGAAAUAAAGUCUUAGCCUUGCUUUUGAGUUUUGGAAGAUGAGCGAAGUAGGGUGAAGUAGUCAUCUUUGCUAAGCAUGUAGAGGUCUUUGUGGGAUUAUUUUUGGACAGGGGUUCGAUUCCCCUCGCUUCCACCA
rnacentral:tmRNA from 1 species